CGAGUGCGGGUCCUUUGGGCCCAACCUCCCAUCCGUGUCUAUUAUACCCUGUUGCUUCGGCGGGCCCGCCGCUUGUCGGCCGCCGGGGGGGCGCCUUUGCCCCCCGGGCCCGUGCCCGCCGGAGACCCCAACACGAACACUGUCUGAAAGCGUGCAGUCUGAGUUGAUUGAAUGCAAUCAGUUAAAACUUUCAACAAUGGAUCUCUUGGUUCCGGCAUCGAUGAAGAACGCAGCGAAAUGCGAUAACUAAUGUGAAUUGCAGAAUUCAGUGAAUCAUCGAGUCUUUGAACGCACAUUGCGCCCCCUGGUAUUCCGGGGGGCAUGCCUGUCCGAGCGUCAUUGCUGCCCUCAAGCCCGGCUUGUGUGUUGGGUCGCCGUCCCCCUCUCCGGGGGGACGGGCCCGAAAGGCAGCGGCGGCACCGCGUCCGAUCCUCGAGCGUAUGGGGCUUUGUCACAUGCUCUGUAGGAUUGGCCGGCGCCUGCCGACGUUUUCCAACCAUUUUUUCCAGGUUGACCUCGGAUCAGGUAGGGAUACCCGCUGAACUUAAGCAUAUCAAUAAGCGGAGGAAAAGAAACCAACCGGGAUUGCCUCAGUAACGGCGAGUGAAGCGGCAAGAGCUCAAAUUUGAAAGCUGGCUCCUUCGGAGUCCGCAUUGUAAUUUGCAGAGGAUGCUUUGGGUGCGGCCCCCGUCUAAGUGCCCUGGAACGGGCCGUCAGAGAGGGUGAGAAUCCCGUCUUGGGCGGGGUGUCCGUGCCCGUGUAAAGCUCCUUCGACGAGUCGAGUUGUUUGGGAAUGCAGCUCUAAAUGGGUGGUAAAUUUCAUCUAAAGCUAAAUACUGGCCGGAGACCGAUAGCGCACAAGUAGAGUGAUCGAAAGAUGAAAAGCACUUUGAAAAGAGAGUUAAACAGCACGUGAAAUUGUUGAAAGGGAAGCGCUUGCGACCAGACUCGCCCGCGGGGUUCAGCCGGCAUUCGUGCCGGUGUACUUCCCCGUGGGCGGGCCAGCGUCGGUUUGGGCGGCCGGUCAAAGGCCCCUGGAAUGUAGUACCCUCCGGGGUACCUUAUAGCCAGGGGUGCAAUGCGGCCAGCCUGGACCGAGGAACGCGCUUCGGCACGGACGCUGGCAUAAUGGUCGUAAACGACC
rnacentral:rRNA from 2 species